AUUGAACGCUGGCGGCAGGCCUAACACAUGCAAGUCGAACGAGUGGCGGACGGGUGAGUAAUGUCUGGGAAACUGCCUGAUGGAGGGGGAUAACUACUGGAAACGGUAGCUAAUACCGCAUACCAUCGGAUGUGCCCAGAUGGGAUUAGCUUGUAGGUGAGGAAACGGCUACCCUAGGUGACGAACCCUAGCUGGUCUGAGAGGAUGACCAGCCACGCGUGAACUGAUACUUGGUCCAGACUCCUACGGGAGGCAGCAGUGGGGAAUAUUGAACAAUGGGCGCAAGCCUGAUGCAGCCAUGCCGCGUGUAUGAAGAAGGCCUUCGGGUUGUAGAGUACUUUCAGCGGGGAGGCGUUACCCGCAGAAGAAUCACCGGCUAACUCCGUGCCAGCCGCCUCGGUAAUAC
rnacentral:rRNA from 1 species